rnacentral:rRNA from 1 species
CGGAGGGUGCGAGCGUUGUCCGGAUUUAUUGGGUUUAAAGGGUGCGUAGGUGGCUGUUUAAGUCAGUGGUGAAAUACGGUUGCUCAACAAGUCGAGGUGCCAUUGAUACUGAAUAGCUUGAAAUAAUUGGAGGCUGCCGGAAUGGAUGGUGUAGCGGUGAAAUGCAUAGAUAUCAUCCAGAACACCGAUUGCGAAGGCAGGUGGCUACGAUUUAUUUGACACUGAGGCACGAAAGCAUGGGGAGCAAACAGGAUUAGAUACCCUGGUAGUCCAUGCCGUAAACGAUGAGGACUCGCUGUUGGUGUUCAUGCAUCAGCGGCUUAGGGAAACCGUUAAGUCCUCCACCUGGGGAGUACGCCGGCAACGGUG